GGACUACCAGGGUAUCUAAUCCUGUUUGCUCCCCACGCUUUCGUGCAUGAGCGUCAGUGUUAACCCAGGGGGCUGCCUUCGCCAUCGGUGUUCCUCCACAUAUCUACGCAUUUCACUGCUACACGUGGAAUUCCACCCCCCUCUGCCACACUCAAGUCUCCCAGUUUCAAACGCAGUUCCCAGGUUAAGCCCGGGGCUUUCACAUCUGACUUAAGAAACCGCCUGCGCACGCUUUACGCCCAGUAAUUCCGAUUAACGCCUGCACCCUACGUAUUACCGCGGCUGCUGGCAC
rnacentral:rRNA from 2 species